GAGUCCUGACUUGAUGGAGGUCAUGGAGAACUCAUCAGACCCCAUCAUCAGUCAUAUGCUAGAUUGGCUUGAUUCGAGUUCACUUGUGAAUCCCGUAGAAACUCUUUUUCAGUAUUUACACUUGGUUUAGCCAAAGAUUUGCUGAAUUCAGUCUCGCAAAUCAUAUAAGACUUCUCUUUUUCUAUCAAGAUUGAUAGAUUUUUUCUAAGUAUAUCCUACUCCUAACAGCAAACCUGAAUUUACUAUAGCCAACAUACACAGCAA
rnacentral:lncRNA from 1 species